rnacentral:lncRNA from 1 species
GAGCUCAGACGCGGAGGAGGCUGGAUCGCGGUGACUGCGAGGAAGAGCACGGGAUCGCUGGAUCAAGGGCUGCUGGGAUUACGCAUGGAGGAGGUAACGGACGCGGGAUCGUUGGGAGGAGGCGAUCGUCCGGGUUGCUUGGAUCACGGAUGCAUCAUGGACAUUGGAAGAGGCUGAAAUGCUGGAUCUUGGAUGCGGACGGCUAGGUGGAUCGCGGAGGAGGCUGGAUCGGUGGAGCUAGCUGCAGGAUCACUAGGAUCACGGGCUGGAGCGGCUGGAAUGGGGUGCUAAUCCGGAAGCUUUGGAAGAGGAGGAGAACGUGGAUCCGGGCGCUGGGAGGAGCCAAUCACGGCUUGGAGCUGGGACGUUCACCGCAUGAAGAACGCGGGCUGCUGGGCGCGAUGCUGGAAGAUUGCGGACGGAUGAAGCCGGAGGGAGCUGAUCGUGCGCUGCUGCAUCACGGAAGAGGGACGCUGGAGUUCCGGGAUGGAAGGCGCUCGGGGACGUGGCAUGGAUGCAGUGGGGAUGCGGUUGGGACGCGCUGAAGACGCGGGGACGGCGCUGGCAGUGACGCGGACGAACGCCUGAUGCAGAAGGCGGUCUGAGACGUGCCGGCUGGUUGCUUGCAUGGCACGGGAGAGCUGGCUCGGUGGGGAUGCGGGCUCGCUGAUCAUGGAAGGCUAAAAAGAGGGGCUGGGUCGGAGGAGACGCGUGGGAUCACGGACGAACG